rnacentral:rRNA from 1 species
AUUGAACGCUGGCGGCAGGCCUAACACAUGCAAGUCGAGCGGAUGAAGGGAGCUUGCUCCUGGAUUCAGCGGCGGACGGGUGAGUAAUGCCUAGGAAUCUGCCUGGUAGUGGGGGAUAACGUCCGGAAACGGGCGCUAAUACCGCAUACGUCCUGAGGGAGAAAGUGGGGGAUCUUCGGACCUCACGCUAUCAGAUGAGCCUAGGUCGGAUUAGCUAGUUGGUGGGGUAAAGGCCUACCAAGGCGACGAUCCGUAACUGGUCUGAGAGGAUGAUCAGUCAAAGGGGAAGGGGGAGGCGGGCAAGGGACCGAGGGGAGGGACGAGGGGGGAAGUGUGGAAAAAGGGGGAAAGGUGGAACAAGCAAGGCGGGGGGGGGAAAGAAGGGAUUGGGAGGGUAAAGGAUUUUAAGUGGGGAGGAAGGGAAGUAAGUUAAAACCUUGGUUUUUGGAGGUUACAAAAAAAAAAAGAACGGGCAAAUUCGGG